CAGGAGCUGUUGGAGAAAGGGCUGUCUGGAGCGAAUAAAGGUCUGCAAAUUGGAGGGUGUCCCCCAUCCAUGGAGGGGAAGGGGUGGCGGGCAUAAAAGCUCCUUCCCGUUAUGAACCCUCCCCUUCUCGCUAUUCAAACUCGCGAGUGGGUGGGCGGAGCAAGGGAGUCCCUUUUCUCUUCCCUCCUCCCCCGGCUUGGCUGUCCCCCCCACCAGCAGCGGUCCAUCCCAGCCCGGGCACGCGCAUGAAGGACCUAUACCCAGAGGGUCUCCCGCACACCCACACACACCAGCAAACAAAGGGUCUGGACACUUGUCCCCUCCGGUUGUCCUGACCCCAGGCCAGAGAGGGCGGGGCUCCUCUUUUCAGCCCCUUUUCCCAGCAAGGAAUGGAGCUGUUGAGUGCCUGACCUCGAAGCCCUUGGCAGGUAGAGGCCUGAAGGAGGAUCUGGAGGUAGAGGCCAGAAGGAGGAAACUCUCAUCUUUAAUCCCAGCAUACUGGAGGCAGAGGCAGAGCGACUGUUGUGAAUUCCAGGAGUGGAACACCAUUCUUAUAGACAUGAGGAAGGGGCCAACUAGAUAACUCAGUGAGUAAAGGUGCUUGCUGCCAAGUUUGAAGAUCUGAGUUCCAGGACACACAUGGUGGAGAGAGAACUAACUCCUGUCUUUGAGCUCCGUGUGAACACUGAUGGCAUGGUGGUUAUGCAUAGCCAUCUUUCCCUUCCCCACAUAAAUAAAGAAUUCUAAUUUCUCUCUUUUUA